CAGUCGCCGCGGUAAUACGAGGGGGGCAAGCGUUGUUCGGAUUUAUUGGGCGUAAAGGGUGCGUGGGCGGUUUGGCGAGUCUUGUGUGAAAUCUUCGGGCUCAACCCGAAGCCUGCACGAGAAACUACCAGGCUUGAGUAUUGGAGAGGUGAGUGGAAUUUCCGGUGUAGCGGUGAAAUGCGUAGAUAUCGGAAGGAACACCUGUGGCGAAAGCGGCUCACUGGACCAUUUCUGACGCUGAUGCACGAAAGCUUGGGGAGCAAACAGGAUUAGAUACCCGCGUAGUCCCUGUCUCUUAUAC
rnacentral:rRNA from 1 species